UAACAGCUCAAAUUUGAAAUCUGGCUCCGUCGGAGUCCGAGUUGUAAUUUGGAGAAGAUGCUUUGGGUUGUGGGUUCGGCCUAAGUUCCUUGGAACAGGACGUCAUAGAGGGUGAGAAUCCCGUAUGUGGCCGAGGCCUGCGCCCGUGUAAAGCUCUUUCGACGAGUCGAGUUGUUUGGGAAUGCAGCUCAAAAUGGGUGGUAAAUUUCAUCUAAAGCUAAAUAUGGACCAGAGACCGAUAGCGAACAAGUAGAGUGAUCGAAAGAUGAAAAGCACUUUGGAAAGAGAGUUAAACAGUACGUGAAAUUGUUGAAAGGGAAGCGCUUGCAACCAGACUUGGGCGCUGCUGAUCAUCCAGAGUUCUCUCUGGUGCACUCGACAGCGCACAGGCCAGCAUCGGUUCGGAUGGCUGGAGAAAGACCGGAGGAACGUAGCUCCCUCUCGGGGGAGUGUUAUAGCCUCUGGUGCCAUACAGCCCAGCCGGACCGAGGACCGCGCCUUCGGGCUAGGAUGCUGGCGUAAUGGUUGUAAGCGACCCG
rnacentral:rRNA from 1 species